rnacentral:rRNA from 1 species
UUCUGUAAGCCUGCGAAGGUGGCCUGUGAGGGUUGCUGGAGGUAUCAGAAGUGCGAAUGCUGACAUAAGUAACGAUAAUGCGGGUGAAAAGCCCGCACGCCGGAAGACCAAGGGUUCCUGUCCAACGUUAAUCGGGGCAGGGUGAGUCGACCCCUAAGGCGAGGCCGAAAGGCGUAGUCGAUGGGAAACAGGUUAAUAUUCCUGUACUUGGUGUUACUGCGAAGGGGGGACGGAGAAGGCUAUGUUAGCCGGGCGACGGUUGUCCCGGUUUAAGCAUGUAGGCGGAGGUUCCAGGUAAAUCCGGUACCUUUUAACGCUGAGGUGUGAUGACGAGGCACUACGGUGCUGAAGUAACAAAUGCCCUGCUUCCAGGAAAAGC